UCAACUGGAGACCUCCAAGAAAACUCGGGGUACAUCUGGUUGGUGUCUUGAUCACUACAAAUGCUAGUGACCAAGACAGCUGAUCUGCGGAUGACUUGUCUCCCCCACCCAGAGACCAGAUGCUGUUGUAGCCCCUGGCCUGCUGCUGUGGGAGCCAGUGCCACUGAUCUCAGCCAAGAGGCUAAGAAGUGAUGAGCGCACACACACGAGCCAUCAGGACGCAGAAGGAAGACUGCUACUUAACCUCAGAAUCCACUUCGGACUGCUAUGUGUCUUGAAAAUUUCAGCAAUGGAUGCAAGAAUAUUUCCUGAAGUCAUGGAAACUGCAAAAGCCAGUGGAAACCAGGCAGACACAGUUCAUAAGGAGAAUACAGUGGAUCUCUCAAACAACCCCAGACAUCCCCCUACCACGAUGUCAAGGCAAAGGAGCCCACUGAAUUGCACUUUUUAUUCACCAGAUGGUCAGGCUACAGGGACACAGCCAUUCUGUCCCCCUGCUCAGGACAACUGUGAAAAGCUCCUCUCUGGGAGACUGGCAACAUUAGAAAG
rnacentral:lncRNA from 1 species